rnacentral:rRNA from 1 species
AUUGAACGCUGGCGGCAGGCCUAACACAUGCAAGUCGAACGAGUGGCGGACGGGUGAGUAAUGUCUGGGAAACUGCCUGAUGGAGGGGGAUAACUACUGGAAACGGUAGCUAAUACCGCAUACCAUCAGAUGUGCCCAGAGGGGAUUAGCUAGUGGGUGGGGUAACGGUUCACCAAGGCGACGAUCCCUAGCUGGUCUGAGAGGAUGACCAGCCACACUGGGACUUAGACACGGUCCAGACUCCUACGGGAGGCAGCAGUGGGGAAGAUUGCACAAUGGGCGCAAGCCUGAUGCAGCCAUGCCGCGUGAAUGAAGAAGGCCUUCGGGUUGUAAAGUACUUUCAGCGGAGAGGCGUUACCCGCAGAAGAAGCACCGGCUAACUCCGUGCCAGCAGCCGCGGUAAUUC